CAGCCUGGCUGUUUAUAUAAUGAAAAGUGAAACUGUGACGUGGCCCUUCUUCUUUCCUCUCAGUCAGAACCUAUGAUUAGGGUCAAAAUUACACUUUUUCUUUUGCUUGUCACACUGGGUGAAUUAUUCUGAGUGGCAGGAACAACUAUCUCUCAUACUGUCCUUGCAUUGGUUUUGUUUGUACCGUAAAACAUUGCCAGGUUAUGGAAAUUCAGCUCUGACUAGAAAAUAGAGGACUUUGUUGAAGUACCAAAGGUUCAUUGAUAAACUGAGACCCUGCGUUGUAAAGAGACAUGGAGGCUGUUUUAGGACUGUUGGUGAUCUCAGCUGGAGUGUCUCAUGGCUCGGAGACUUCCUGUGAUGCUAGACAGAAUGGAUGUCAGUGUUAUGGAGCUCUGGGAGGAACUGUCUAUCUCCAGCUGGUGACUGAUGCCACGAGAUAUGAUGAUCUCUUAUUUUAUAAAGACCCAACUGGUGCUAAAACAGAGAUACUCAGAUCGAAGAAGGACAAAUGGAUAACAAAAGACAGCCCCAUUAAAGACAGAGUACACUUCUUUAUAAACAAUGGGACAUUUAGAUUAAAUAACACAAGAAGUACAGAUUCUGGUGAAUAUCUGCUAGAAACAUUUAAUUCAGCAGGGAAAUCAUCAGGGAUCAGAGGACUACAACUGUUCAUCGAAGCUCCAGUGUCCAGUCCUCAGCUGUCCUCUGAGUGUCUGUCCCAUGGAGAGAUGAAGGUGUCCUGUUCCUCUGAGGGGGAUGGUCCCCAGUACAGCUGGACUCUGGAUGGACAGACACUGAACGACACUGAGACAAACACCAUCACUCUGAAGAAAGGCCUGUCAGGAAAUCUCACCUGUACCAUCAGAAACAACAUCAGCAGUGAUACUGUCAGCAGGAGAAUCUCACACUGUCCAGGGCUGAUAUAUGUUAACUGCACCUUAUCCAACGGGACAAAAGUAUCAGAGUGGGUGAAUGCCACUGGUAAUACCCUGUGUGCUGAGUCUACAACAGUGGCGACUGUGACUGAGGCCCCCACCAGUAAAACCUCCACUGGACCAUGGUUCAAUGUGUUGGUUUAUUUCCAACUUGUUGAAGUCUUCAUUUUGCUGACAAUCUGUCUGGGAUCAUACUGGUUUUACAAGAAGAAAACAAGAUGAUGCUGAGUAAGCAGAGUGUUUGCAGUCUCUCAGGUGGAUCACGGUGGGACUCUAAGAGGGGUGUUGAUGUCAUGAAAGUUGCCAUGGGGACCACGACUAAUGACUAACGAUGAUGUUAUACUGCUUAUUACUGUUUUAAUUUUAAUAAAGCUCAAACUCAAAACACAGUCAUGUAUUUAGUUCUUUUGACAUACAUUUUCAUAGUUUCAUAAUGUUUCUUAAGACCUGCCCUUAACAAAGUAAUAAUGAAUGAUCUAUGUGAUGGUGUUUAUUUAAUGAAUUUUAACAUUUGAAUUGUAGUGUUUUAGUGGUUUUUCAUUUGUAC
rnacentral:lncRNA from 1 species